rnacentral:rRNA from 1 species
UACGUAGGGCGCAAGCGUUAAUCGGAAUUACUGGGCGUAAAGCGUGCGCAGGCGGUUUUGUAAGACAGAGGUGAAAUCCCCGGGCUCAACCUGGGAACUGCCUUUGUGACUGCAAGGCUUGAGUGCGGCAGAGGGGGAUGGAAUUCCGCGUGUAGCAGUGAAAUGCGUAGAUAUGCGGAGGAACACCGAUGGCGAAGGCAAUCCCCUGGGCCUGCACUGACGCUUAUGCACGAAAGCGUGGGGAGCAAACAGG